AAUGGCGGCGCGUACAGGCAACACAGAUGCUCCUUCCUACCUCCCACUCAGAAUGGAGCACCCACUUGAGGCCUCCUGUGAUCCUAUGACCUUGUUGUACUGGGUGACUCCAGCACUCAGAUGUGUGGCCCCAAUAUUGUUCCCAGGGUGAAUAUCUGCCCACCCUCGUGAAUAUAGCUACCUACUGGGACAUCUGCUCUCUGAAUAAGAUGGCUUCACCGGAGCCCUGCCCAUAGUGUCUUUUGGAAGUAGAAGGAUGCAAGCUGUUUCCUGUUUCACAGGCUGGCUGACCGCUUGUGAGUGAAAGCAGUGAAGAUGCCCAAGUGGAUAAGGCCCUGCAGGAGGCAAUAGGACUUUCUAACACCUUUUUUGGUCUGCUGCAGAUACAUUUGUGUUUUGGCAUUGCCUGCCAUUAGUCUUUGAUGCUUCUAUAUGCGCAUAAAGAAAAUGGAAGGCCUUGGCUCAGAUGGACUUCAUGGUUUCCCCUGGAUUAGAGGCAAAAGCGAGCCUGGCCUUAUCUUCUGAACCUUCCACUAUCUUUCCUGUUAAUCAUAAUAGGAAAAAUUAACCAAACGUCUAUACCUUUUUUGCAUGAAAUUUGCAGCCAUAGUAGACUCCUUCUGAGGGGGAUGAAGCCUACCCAAUUCCACACAAAUAGGCCUAGGAAUUAUGGAAUUCUGAAUAAAAACAGUAUUUGGGUUGGGUUUUUUACAAAAAUAUUUUCUGUUCAAUUUGAGCAGUGUGAUAUAAUGGCUAGAGUGUUGGACUGUGAAUUGUUAGAUCUGAGCUUGACUGCUGCUCAGCCCUGAAGCUCACUGGGUGAUUGUUUCACUUGCAGACUCUUAGUCUAACUUACCUCACAGGCUCGUUGUGAGGAUAAAAUGGAGGGGGGUCAUGUAAGUUGGCUUGGGCUCCUUGGCAGAAGGCAGAGUAUAAAUGUCAAAGUAGCAUAGACCUACUAUCAAGCACUUCUGUGGUCUUUUCAAUGGAGAUCAUAGAAUCCUAGCAUAGUAGAGUUGAAAGGGGCCUAUAAGGUCAGCACCCUGCUCAAUGCAGGAAUCUCACCUUAAAGCAUAGUGGACAAGCUUGGAUUAUAAGAUUUCUGGGCAGGGACAAUUAUAUUCUGGGCAGUAUUUUAAAUAAAAGGUUACAGUUUGAACAACA